rnacentral:rRNA from 1 species
CGGGCGGACGGGGGAGUAACGCGUGGGUAACCUACCCUGUACACACGGAUAACAUACCGAAAGGUAAUGCUAAUACGGGAUAAUAUAUUUGAGAGGCAUCUCUUGAAUAUCAAAGGUGAGCCAGUACAGGAUGGACCCGCGUCUGAUUAGCUAGUUGGUAAGGUAACGGCUUACCAAGGCGACGAUCAGUAGCCGACCUGAGAGGGUGAUCGGCCACAUUGGAACUGAGACACGGUCCAA